AAAAAGAUAAAUCAUGGGUUUCCAUAACCAACGUUUAACUAUUCGUUUUAUAUGAAAUUUUGUUAUAAUUGGUAUUUUCAUUGUUGUUAGAUGAUAAAACAUGAUUAAUACUUUAUACAUGACUUGUCUUUUUAAUUAUUUUUAUAAUUUUUUUAAAUAAGAUGGAAGAUCAAAUGUUGACACGGAAAUAUAGGGAUUGUCUUUCU
rfam:Oryza nivara chromosome 7, whole genome shotgun sequence.